CGCACGAAGAACAGAGAAAAGACUGUAGGAGUCAUAUCUACCACAGCUAUUCAGCUUCAGACUCUAUUGUCGAGAUGAAGCUCUUUUAUUGAUAGUCGGCUUAUUUGACUCGGUCGAAGCUUCACUUUUCUUUUGUUUCUUCUUUUGACCUUUUUCGUCUGUCUGGCAUCGAUCAGAAGUAGCUUCAUCCGUACGAAUGUACUUG
rnacentral:lncRNA from 1 species